AUCCUGAUUCAGGGAGGCAGUGACAAGAAAUAACAACUUUCAACUUUGUUGAAAAGUGUAAUGAGGAUAAUUUACAAACCUUACCGAAAGCAAUUGGAGGGCAAGUCUGGUGCCAGCAGCCGCGGUAAUUCCAGCUCCAAAAGCGUAUAUUAAAGUUGUUGCAGUUAAAAAGCUCGUAGUUGAAGUUCUGGCUGUAUUGGGCCUUAGCACUUGAUGCGGAGGAACCAGCAGUCAUCCGCUUGCAAAUACAUGUCCUUCCUUAACCGGUAGGCUGUAUAAGUAAGCACUUUACCUUGAGAAAAACAGAGUGUUCCAGGCAGGUUUGUCCGGAAUGCGUUAGCAUGGAAUAAUAGAAUAUGACUGAAGUCGAUUUAUUGGUUUAAGGCUUUAGUAAUGAUUAAUAGGAACAAUCGGGGGCAUUGGUACUUGUCAGUCAGAGGUGAAAUUCUAGGAUUUGACAAAGACUAACUGAUGCGAAAGCGUUUGCCAAGAAUGUUUUCAUUAAUCAAGAACGAAAGUUAGGGGAUCAAAGACGAUCAGAUACCGUCCUAGUCUUAACUAUAAACUAUACCGACUCGGAUUCAGAUGAAUUUUAAAGUUCAUUUGGGACCGUAGGAGAAAUCAAAGUCUUUGGGUUCUGGGGGAGUAUGGUCGCAAGGCUGAAACUUAAAGGAAUUGACGGUUUUGCACCACCAUGGAGUGGAGCCUGCGGCUUAAUUUGACCCAACACUGGGAAACUCAUCAGGGCAAGAAGAUUUUAGGAUUGACAGAUUGAGAGUUCUUUCUUGAUUGGUCUAGUGGUGGUGCAUGGCCGUUCUUAGUUGGUGGAGUGAUUUGUCUGGUUAAUUCCGUUAACGAACGAGACCUUAACCUGCUAACUAGUACUUUGAUUUUCAAUCGGAGUUACUUCUUAGAGGGACUAUGUGAGUAAUCACAUGGAAGUUUGAGGCAAUAACAGGUCUGUGAUGCCCUUAGAUGUCCUGAGCUGCACGCGCGCUACAAUGACACAUUCAGCGAGUAUUUCCUGACCCGAAAGGGCUCGGGUAAUCUUUUCAGUGUGUGUCGUGAUAGGGAUAGAUCCUUGUAAUUAUGGAUCUUGAACGAGGAAUUCCUAGUAAGCGCACGUCAUCAGCGUGUGCUGAUUACGUCCCUGCAAAAUGUACACACCGCCCGUCGCUAUUACCGAUUGGGUGUAUAGGUGAACCUUCUCGAUAGCCGCAAGGCUAGAAAUUAAGUAAACCUUUGCACCUAGAGGAAAUAAAAGUCGUAACAAGGUUUCCGUAGGUGAACCUGCGGAAG
rnacentral:rRNA from 1 species